CCUACGGGAGGCAGCAGUGAGGAAUAUUGGUCAAUGGGCGAGAGCCUGAACCAGCCAAGUCGCGUGAGGGAAGACGGUCCUAUGGAUUGUAAACCUCUUUUGCCGGGGAGCAAAAAGCGGUACGUGUACCGCAUCGAGAGUACCCGGAGAAAAAGCAUAGGCUAACUCGGUGCAAGCAGCCGCGGUAACACGGAGGAUGCGAGCGUUAUCCGGAUUCAUGGGGUUUAAAGGGUGCGCGGGCGGCGGAUUAAGUCUGCGGGAAAAUUUCGGGGCCCAACCCCGACAAGCCGUUGAUACUGGCUUGCUAGAGUGGGCGAGAAGUAUGCGGAAUGCGUGGUGUAGCGGUGAAAUGCAUAGAUAUCACGCAGAACUCCGGUUGCGAAGGCAGCAUACCGGCGCCCAACUGACGCUGAGGCACGAAAGCGUGGGUAUCGAACAGGAUUAGAUACCCCAGUAGUC
rnacentral:rRNA from 1 species